rnacentral:lncRNA from 10 species
UUUGAUUAAAUAAUGUCUGUAACGUAUUUAGCCAGCAAGCCAGCACACAGUAAAUACUCAAUAUAUGGUAGCUAUUAUUUUGAACUUUCUUCCUGCAGACAUGCAAACAAAAAUUACAAAGUAAGAUAAUGACCUCCUCUAUAAAUGCUGUAGUGGGAGUGUCCAGUGAAAAGUGGUGGUAUGCUAGGGUGCUCUUCAAACUGUGCCUUACAGAGUUUUGAGGCACAGGCAGUCACAGGCAUGCCUCUAGGGCCCAGGGUGGGCUCGGGGUGUGGAGAGGGGAAAUGACACCCCACCGUUCCUGCCACCUCUGCUUUCCUUUCAACAAAAAUAGAGCCAGUUUUGUCCCGUGUGUUUGUUAAUAUUGGUCUUUCCUGUCAUGUCUCAUUCAAGAAUGGAUUCUGCCUAAAAUCCCCCUUGAGACUGAGAAUCCUAAACUCAACUUUCUAAUCAUUUCUCUGGAGGUCCUUGCGUAAGUAAGUCUCUUACCUUCCUUCACUUCACUUUCCUCUUAUGAAAUGAGGUAAUAUAUUUCUUCUGACUGAUUAUUAUUGUUCCUUCCAGGUAUAAAAUUCUGCAAGUUUUGGGGCAUGUCGGGAAAAAAGAUAUGUGGAUAUGCUACCCCAAGUUAACGUUGUCCCCUAGAGACACCUCCCCGAGUCAAACACAUUUGCUGUGCUCUUCUGCCACAGGCUGCCAAGAAAACUUAGGAAAAACUCACAGGUCACAUUUGAGAGCUUUCAUGCUGCUUAGAGCUUCCUGGUUUGAUUCCAUCCGAGUCUAUGAGGAAAUGGCUGCUCUGGGAAGAAGCAGGAGUUAAUUCAAGUCUGGAGAAUGCCUGCUUUUUUGAAAUCCCCAGCAUGCUACAUGUGAUAUGGGCUUAUAAGAACCACAUGCUUUCUCAUGCUCCUUUGGCUCAACCUCAGAGGCAUUCUAGAGUUGGCCCUUGCAGCUAGAAACCACAAGAAUGUCAAUGAUGCAAUUUAAAAUAUGCCAGUUCCCACUCCACUGGUCUGUAAACUAAAUAAAUUGCACAAAAACCCCUACAGUCUCACCUCCUUUAUCAGAGGAAAUUAUUGAGAAGGUUUCAGUGAUUUAGAAAAUAUUCAAGCAUAGCUUCUUAAACAUCAAGUAGCAGCAUUAUAUGGAGUUGGUUUUGUUUAAUAGUUUAUUCACAACACUCAGUAAUUGAACCACUAGGUACCAUGGUGACAGAAAUGAAGGUAGAUGGAUGGGAGUUAUAGAAAGACAAUGGGUCCCCUGUCUUUAAUGUUAAUUAGUUG